GAUGAACGCUGGCGGCGUGCCUAAUACAUGCAAGUCGAGCGAACAGACGAGGAGCUUGCUCCUCUGACGUUAGCGGCGGACGGGUGAGUAACACGUGGAUAACCUACCUAUAAGACUGGGAUAACUUCGGGAAACCGGAGCUAAUACCGGAUAAUAUAUUGAACCGCAUGGUUCAAUAGUGAAAGACGGUUUUGCUGUCACUUAUAGAUGGAUCCGCGCCGCAUUAGCUAGUUGGUAAGGUAACGGCUUACCAAGGCAACGAUGCGUAGCCGACCUGAGAGGGUGAUCGGCCACACUGGAACUGAGACACGGUCCAGACUCCUACGGGAGGCAGCAGUAGGGAAUCUGCCGCAAUGGGCGAAAGCCUGACGGAGCAACGCCGCGUGAGUGAUGAAGGUCUUCGGAUCGUAAAACUCUGUUAUUAGGGAAGAACAAAUGUGUAAGUAAAUAUGCACGUCUUGACGGUACCUAAUCAGAAAGCCACGGCUAACUACGUG
rnacentral:rRNA from 1 species